rnacentral:rRNA from 1 species
AGCGAACGCUGGCGGCGUGCUUAACACAUGCAAGUCGCGGGAGAACGGGGGGCUUCGGCUCUCCUAGUAAACCGGCGCACGGGUGAGUAACACGUAGGUAACCUACCUACGAGACCGGGAUAACCUGUCGAAAGAUAGGCUAAUACCGGAUAAGACCACGGGGGUCUCGGCCUCUGAGGUAAAAGGUGGCCUCUGCUUGCAAGCUACCACUCGUAGAUGGGCCUGCGCGCCAUUAGCAGUUGGUGAGGUAACGGCCCACCAAGGCGACGAUGGCUAGUUGGUCUGAGAGGAUGACCAGCCACACUGGGACU